CAGAAAAUCACUGAUUGUGUCAUUACUGUCUUCCACUGUUGUGGGUCAGAGCAGCAAAGAUCACAAGGAAGAUCACUGAUCAGAUCAGGAAAAUGCACAUCUCUGUGUCUCUCCUCUUCCUCUUCAUUGGCUCAACCUCUGCCAAAAAGCAAGGAGAUUUCGGCAUUUUUGAAGCUUGCUUAAAGAACAAAACCAGCCUCAGGUUCAGUCUUCCAGUAUCUUCAUGAAUG